CUGUAAUGGUGUCCUUGGCUCUCAGGCUGUAAAAGAAUUGUUUUGUCUAACUAAACUAUGAAGAUAACUUGAUAACACUUCAUAUGAGGUUCUGAAUCACACAUUAAAGUGGUACAGAAUCUGAAAAAUAUGAAAGCUAAAACUUAAGACAUCAUAAGGAUGAUUUCCCAGACUGUAGGACUGAAAUUAGGUGUUCUCAAUUUCCAGGGAGGAGAUGGGUGUGAUCAAAAGGAGAAGACAGCUGAGCCAUGGAGGACCAGAAGGUCACCAAAGAGAGUGGCUGACCCUCAAAUGGUGGUGAUGCCUGCUUGUUUCCUGGCCCUAUGUGUUACCUGACUGCUGCAGACAGAUCUGAAGAUGCUGAUGUCCUCUUGACAGCGAGCACUGAGAGACACUGAGAGACACUGUAAGACUGAGAGCAAAGCCUUCAAGCUGCAGAGCACACAACCUCCCAGCAGGUGGCUUGGGCACAGCAAACCAGGCUGGGCCUUUGGGGAAAAAGAACUUAAAAUAGCUGCAAAAGAGUAUCAGACAGUUCAUUCAUGGCUUAUUGAUGCCACAGAUCUCAGUUACAUUUCGUGGUCUGAGGCAUGAGGCAAAAGAUCUUUCCCAACCCUGAGUCCUGCAUCAAUAUUUCAUGAUGGUUCAGUUUAAAGUAUUAGGAUUUUUUUGUCUUUUAU
rnacentral:lncRNA from 1 species